CAGCCGCCGCGGUAAUACGAAGGGUGCAAGCGUUACUCGGAAUUACUGGGCGUAAAGCGUGUGUAGGUGGUUGUUUAAGUCUGUCGUGAAAGCCCUGGGCUCAACCUGGGAAUUGCGAUGGAUACUGGGCGACUAGAGUGCGGUAGAGGAUAGUGGAAUUUCCGGUGUAGCAGUGAAAUGCGUAGAGAUCGGAAGGAGCAUCUGUGGCGAAGGCGACUAUCUGGGCCAACACUGACACUGAGACACGAAAGCGUGGGGAGCAAACAGGAUUAGAUACCCGCGUAGUCCCUGUCCUUAUACC
rnacentral:rRNA from 1 species